rnacentral:rRNA from 1 species
AGAGUUUGAUCCUGGCUCAGGAUGAACGCUAGCUACAGGCUUAACACAUGCAAGUCGAGGGGCAGCAUGGACCCAGCUUUGCUGGGUUUGAUGGCGACCGGCGCACGGGUGAGUAACGCGUAUCCAACCUGCCCUUUACUCCGGGAUAGUCUCCUGAAAGGGAGUUUAAUACCGGAUGUGUUUGUCUUUCCGCAUGGGAGCGACAAAUAAAGAUUAAUUGGUAAAGGAUGGGGAUGCGUCCCAUUAGCUUGUUGGCGGGGUAACGGCCCACCAAGGCGACGAUGGGUAGGGGUUCUGAGAGGAAGGUCCCCCACAUUGGAACUGAGACACGGUCCAAACUCCUACGGGAGGCAGCAGUGAGGAAUAUUGGUCAAUGGGCGGGAGCCUGAACCAGCCAAGUAGCGUGAAGGACGACGGCCCUACGGGUUGUAAACUUCUUUUAUAAGGGAAUAAAGUUCGCCACGUGUGGUGUUUUGUAUGUACCUUAUGAAUAAGCAUCGGCUAAUUCCGUGCCAGCAGCCGCGGUAAUACGGAAGAUGCGAGCGUUAUCCGGAUUUAUUGGGUUUAAAGGGAGCGUAGGCGGGCUUUUAAGUCAGCGGUCAAAUGUCGUGGCUCAACCAUGUCAAGCCGUUGAAACUGUAAGCCUUGAGUCUGCACAGGGCACAUGGAAUUCGUGGUGUAGCGGUGAAAUGCUUAGAUAUCACGAAGAACUCCGAUCGCGAAGGCAUUGUGCCGGGGCAUAACUGACGCUGAGGCUCGAAAGUGCGGGUAUCAAACAGGAUUAGAUACCCUGGUAGUCCGCACGGUAAACGAUGAAUGCUCGCUAUGGGCGAUAUAUUGUCCGUGGCCAAGCGAAAGCGUUAAGCAUUCCACCUGGGGAGUACGCCGGCAACGGUGAAACUCAAAGGAAUUGACGGGGGCCCGCACAAGCGGAGGAACAUGU